rnacentral:rRNA from 1 species
UGGGGAAUAUUGGACAAUGGGCGAAAGCCUGAUCCAGCCAUGCCGCGUGUGUGAAGAAGGUCUUCGGAUUGUAAAGCACUUUAAGUUGGGAGGAAGGGCAGUUACCUAAUACGUAUCUGUUUUGACGUUACCGACAGAAUAAGCACCGGCUAACUCUGUGCCAGCAGCCGCGGUAAUACAGAGGGUGCAAGCGUUAAUCGGAAUUACUGGGCGUAAAGCGCGCGUAGGUGGUUUGUUAAGUUGGAUGUGAAAUCCCCGGGNUCAACCUGGGAACUGCAUUCAAAACUGACAAGCUAGAGUAUGGUAGAGGGUGGUGGAAUUUCCUGUGUAGCGGUGAAAUGCGUAGAUAUAGGAAGGAACACCAGUGGCGAAGGCGACCACCUGGACUGAUACUGACACUGAGGUGCGAAAGCGUGGGGAGCAAACAGGAUUAGAUACCCACGUAGUCCCUGAGCGGGCUGGCAAGGCGCAU